AGUGAACGCUGGCGGUAGGCCUAACACAUGCCAGUCGAACGGCAGCACAGUAAGAGCUUGCUCUUACGGGUGGCGAGUGGCGGACGGGUGCGGAAUACAUCGGAAUCUACUUUUUCGUGGGGGAUAACGUAGGGAAACUUACGCUAAUACCGCAUACGACCUACGGGUGAAAGCAGGGGAUCUUCGGACCUUGCGCGAUUGAAUGAGCCGAUGUCGGAUUAGCUAGUUGGCGGGGUAAAGGCCCACCAAGGCGACGAUCCGUAGCUGGUCUGAGAGGAUGAUCAGCCACACUGGAACUGAGACACGGUCCAGACUCCUACGGGAGGCAGCAGUGGGGAAUAUUGGACAAUGGGCGCAAGCCUGAUCCAGCCAUACCGCGUGGGUGAAGAAGGCCUUCGGGUUGUAAAGCCCUUUUGUUGGGAAAGAAAAGCAGCAGGUUAAUACCCCGCUGUUCUGACGGUACCCAAAGAAUAAGCACCGGCUAACUUCGUG
rnacentral:rRNA from 1 species